rfam:Triticum urartu cultivar G1812 contig88369, whole genome shotgun sequence.
CUCUUACUCCCUCCGUUCCAAAUUACUCGUCGCAGAAAUGGAUGUAUCUAGAACUAAAAUACAUCCAGAUACAUUCAUUUCUGCGAUGAGUAAUUCAGAACAGAGGGAGUACAUC